GCCCUUGUAGCUCAGCCGGCAGAGCACCACCAUGGUAAGGUGGGGGUCAUCGGUUCGAAUCCGAUCGAGGGCU
rnacentral:tRNA from 1 species